UUUGGUUUGUUACGUGUGGUUGGCUGCGGCGUUUGCAACAACUUCCAUGCUUUCAGACCUCUUCAGUUGUGCGGCAAGGCUUGUAUCGCCUUGAGCGUAUUGUGGGUUUUCUGUGUUGGCUACCUAAUCAAUGGUAUCGGUUGGAUUGAUCAAUGUUUCAUUUCGUCUACCGUCGCAUUCGCGGCGUGAGAUGAACCUUGAUGCGGUCUCUUUGAUCCACCUCGUCGAAGCGCAUGCUUUGGCGUUGUGGCACAUUGAGCAUUGCUUGGUCUCUUGUAUACGGAACAUAUAGUGGGCAUGGAUCUAACGAUUCUCGUUUGCCCUCAUAUUAGCGUAACGCUUCUCUUACACGACUUGCNCCACGUUUUAG
rnacentral:misc_RNA from 1 species